GAGGAGUACAGUUUUAAAUGUAAGUAUAUUAAAAUCUGCCGGUAAAAAAAUAGAAAAUUAAAAGCGGCUAUAUUGUUAGGCUUUAGUCCUUUGCAUAUAUACUAUAUGUUUUAAAAUAAUUUUUAUCUCAGAAAUAUCGUGAAUGAGCUCAUAUGGCGGGUCCUUUAGUUUUUCGUGUAUUCCCGCUAACUAAGUUAGUUUUUAAUUUGAGACUUUUUUAUUUGCUAUUUUUUAGGGUCCAAGGAGCAGACAGAAGUUUUUAUAAAGCUGAGGGGAAAAAAAUGAACACCUCUUCACGGGGUGUAAGAAUUCAGCCGCUGUGGGAUGGAGGACACUUCUGGAGAAGAUGGGCCUGCAGGGUAAAGUCACACCCCUGCAGGCCAAAAAGAAGUGGGACAACUUGAAAAGAAAAUAUAAAGUAUGUAUAUGAGAAGUGAAGAAUUACUUUUUUAACUGCACAUGUUAAUAAAUGUUCAUUUUUAAAAGAU